UACGGAGGAUGCGAGCGUUAUCCGGAUUUAUUGGGUUUAAAGGGUGCGUAGGCGGGAUGCCAAGUCAGCGGUAAAAAUGCGGUGCUCAACCCCGUCGAGCCGUUGAAACUGGCAGACUUGAGUUGGCGAGAAGUACGCGGAAUGCGCGGUGUAGCGGUGAAAUGCUUAGAUAUCACGAAGAACUCCGAUUGCGAAGGCAGCUCACUGGACUGCAACUGACACUGAGGCUCGAAAGUGUGGGUAUCAAACAGG
rnacentral:rRNA from 1 species